rnacentral:rRNA from 1 species
UACAGAGGGUGCAAGCGUUGCUCGGAUUUACUGGGCGUAAAGCGUGCGCAGCCGGCUGAGCAAGUUGGACGUGAAAGCCUGGGGCUCAACCCCAGAAUUGCGUUCAAAACUACUCGGCUCGAGUAUGGGAGAGGGAAGUGGAAUUCCUGGUGUAGAGGUGAAAUUCGUAGAUAUCAGGAGGAACACCAGCGGCGAAGGCGGCUUCCUGGCCCAUUACUGACGUUCAGGCACGAAAGCGUGGGGAGCAAACAGG